rnacentral:rRNA from 1 species
AGUGAACGCUGGCGGUAGGCCUAACACAUGCAAGUCGAACGGCAGCACAGUAAGAGCUUGCUCUUACGGGUGGCGAGUGGCGGACGGGUGAGGAAUACAUCGGAAUCUACUUUUUCGUGGGGGAUAACGUAGGGAAACUUACGAUAAUACCGCAUACGACCUACGGGUGAAAGCAGGGGAACUUCUGAGCUUGCGGGAUUGAAUGAGCCGAUGUCGGAUUAGCUAGUUGGCGGGGUAAAGGCCCACCAAGGCGACGAUCCGUAGCUGGUCUGAGAGGAUGAUCAGCCACACUGGAACUGAGACACGGUCCAGACUCCUACGGGAGGCAGCAGUGGGGAAUAUUGGACAAUGGGCGCAAGCCUGAUCCAGCCAUACCGCGUGGGUGAAGAAGGCCUUCGGGUUGUAAAGCCCUUUUGUUGGGAAAGAAAAGCAGCAGGUUAAUACCCCGCUGUUCUGACGGUACCCAAAGAAUAAGCACCGGCUAACUUCGUG